rnacentral:lncRNA from 1 species
UUCUCAUCUAAACUCACACUGCCUUUCACCUUCCUCCCUCUCGGUUACAUAUACAAACACAGGGAAUUUCUCACCUGCACAAGACAAAAACCCAAAUCAAACAACUUUCCUCACCAAACAAAACCCAACCCAACCCAGCCGACCACCCCUACCCCUCUCGGUCUAUCUCUCCUCUCGUUCUAUACAUUCAAACACAAAGAAAUCAGCUCCCAACCCACUUGUUUUACCCCCUAUUAAUGGGCCAACCACCACCAUCCUUUGGUGGUGGCAGACUACAACAACAAACACCACCACCACCACAGGCGGCGGCGCUGUGGUGGUUGGUACCGAAUGAUGAAGAGAACAGAACCGCCGCACGCGGCGGCGGUAUGACGGCAAGAGAGAGAGAGAGUAGAGAGAGAUGGUGACAGCGACGGAGCCGUCUCUCCGACGGCGGCGGCGGUGGUCUGAGACUUAGACCGGCAGUUCGUGUUACGGACCGGUGGUUCGUGUCAAGAUCCAGCGGUUUUUGCUUUUGACUAAUGGGUUAACCGGGAGUAGCGGCUGAAGACGGUGGUGAUGACGAUGGUGACGGCAGUGGCAGCGUGACGGUGGUUGUGUCUCGAUCCACGAGAUUUCCGGUCAGCGCUGUGGUUCAGCUUGUUGCGGUUCACACGGUUCAGCAGGUUUAAUUUUCGGGCCAACUGGUUAACGGGUUGACUCGGUCAAACUGAGUCAACUCAGUCAACAAGUCAAAGCUGGUCAACAUCGAGUCAUUGCUCGGGCUUGGUCAACUCGGGUCAGAUUAGGAAGCGGUUCGGUCGACUCGGUCAAACCCGGUCAACAGCGAGUUGACUCGGUCAACUCAGCUAGCUCACUCGACAUUUCGUCACGAAGACUUGGAAUAUUGUAGAAUGCACGCUAGCAAGUCCCGACUUGGAAACGACAUCGCAAAGUCGUAUAUAGCUAGCUUUGCACAGGAAUAUUCAGGUUACUUUUCAAACAAUGGAACGGUUGGAAUAGGAGGACCAUGAAGAGUCGAGUACUUAGUGGCGUUCAAUUUCUAGAAGUCUUAGCUUUAUUUGCUUCCGCUGUGCAAUGAAGAUACCAGUCCAGUCACGCCAAUGCUCUGAUAAUUUCGGGGUGUGACAACAAACCCUUAAAAGG